UUGCAACACGAACCCUUCAGCUAUAAGCUAAUUCAAGUCACACGUCUCACACACUUCUUUCCAGCGGCCACCAUGAACACAUAUGUAUGCAACUCCUUAUAACGUACGUAGCCUCUGCAUUUCAGCCGAUUGAAGUCCCUAAUUAAACCUUUUUUUUUUUUUAAAGGAGAAAUUUCAUUGAUCAACGAUUAAAACGACCACAAAAUCAAAUAAGAAUAGUCUGAAGACCAUACAUAUAUGCCUAUAACAACGAAAAAUAAAACUAUAUCUAUGCAACUCCUUAUAACGUACACCCUAAUUAAACCUUUUUUUUUUUUUGUAAGGUAGGAAAAUUUCAUUGAUCAACGAUUAAAACGACCACAAGGUCAAAUAAGAACAGUUUGAAGAUCAUACAUGCCUAUAGCAACGAAAAAUAAAACUACAUUUACGAAAAUAAAUAACAACCUCAAAACUACAUAAAAAAAAUUGGAUAAACUAGAAAGCAAAAUAACCUCCCGAUCCCUAAAAACAACUCAGCUUCCAAUCGAAUAAGGCCUAAGAACCAAUGAUAUACUUGUCAUCAAAUUGAGAGAAAGAGAGUAGCACUACCAGGACAAGCACUUUAGCCGACGAAAAAUUUUCGUCGGCCUGUUAGCUUAAUUCGUCGGCUAAGAUUUCGUCGGGAAAAAGUCGUCUGUGAUGACUUUAGCCGACGAAAUUUUUUUUUUCGUCAGCUAAAGUCCCGCGUUUAGCUGACAAAAAACACGUCGUCGGUUUUUUUUCCAGACUUUAGCCGACGAAACAAUUAAGAUAUUCGUCGGCUAAAGUCUGUAAUAAAAAAUUUUUCCUCAGACUAUAGCCGACGAAAUAUAGUCUGUUUCGUCGACUAAACCUUGUAAAAAAUUUUAAAAAAUUACUAUAGCCGACGAAAUAUAGUCUGUUUCGUCGGCUAAACCUUAUAAAAAAUUUUUAAAAUAACUAUAGCCGACGAAAUAUGCCAUAAUUCGUCGGCUAAACCUUAUAAAAAAAUUUAAAAAUACUAUAGCCGACGAAUAAACCUUUAAAUAUCGUUGGCUAAACCUUUAAAUAUCGUCGGCUAAAGUUGCUGGUUUUUGAAAAAAAAAAACUGCAGAAACUUUCGGCCACCUCCAAUCACCACCAAAAUUUGACAGAAUCUUCCUCUCAAUAUUUCGAACAACUUUCUAGAAGAAGUCGAAGCCCAAUUCUAAGCCUAAACAGGUCAAUUGAAUCAAAAUAUAAAAAUCCCUAAUUUUAAACCCUAAAAACUACAAAUCUUCGAUUCUCCUCACACACACCGAAUCGAGCUACCAAAUUCUAGGGGAAUGUAGUACUAAUCAAACUCAACUUAUCCAUAUAUAGAACUCACCAAAUGGUGACAUGAGGAAGGAGAAAUUCGAUCGACACCGAAUCCGAACCGGCGGAGUUUUGGAGCUCGAUUUAUCUCUCACGGCGGCGCCACUCGAUGCACCACUUAUCCAGCAAUGAAGUAGAGACGACGGCGAAGCUUUUGGGACAAGUGUGGCGGUCUACGGUGACUUGACGGCGGAGCUAGGCCGAGAAGAAAAUCUGGCAGGCGAAAUAGACUUCUUACCAUCCACCUUCGGUAAAACUCCUAUAUAAAGAACUUUAGCCGACGAAAUUCUUUAUUUUCGUCGGCUAAACUCUUUUGAAAAUUUUGGUUGACCGCCAAAAAAUUUUGGUUGAAAAUUUUUACCGCCCAAAAAUUUUUGACCUUAGCCGACAACUUUUCAAAUAUUUUCGUCGGUUAAAGUCCUUUGAAAAUUUUUACCGCCCAAAAAUUUUUGACCUUGGCCGACGACUUUUUUAAUAUCUCGUCGGCUAAAGUCUAUAAAUUCACGAAAACGCUCAUAUCUCCCUCUAUAUUACGUAGUUUGGUCAAACCUUCCACACGAAAAACUUUCACAUAGAUGAGACGCAACCGCCUAUAUAAAAAUUUUGAGACAUUUGCCUUCCGACGAUAGGGCUCCCCAUAGGGAAUAAUAACGGUAAAUAGGGUUGACCGCUACUAUCGGCACCGAGACUUUACCCGAUUUACGUGAUUUUUGAACUACAGUCGUAUUUCACCAUUCUGAACACAUCUUAUUUCACGAUAUUUUUGAUAAUUUUGCUUCCUAUAUAGAGUUGGUUCACAAAGUUGUAUAACCUACUAAACAAGUUAUACAACAUUAGUAGACACGUUGUGAUUCCGAUGACUAAAAUUCACAAACCAAAAUUCGACUGUCAGAUAUGAUCAUUAUGAUGAAAGAUGUCUAUGGUAAAAAAUUCAACUGGAUCCGACAACGUUAAGGACUCGAUCGAAACAGGUAACCCUAAUCCAUAGUCACUUAUCACACGAAAACGCUCAUAUCUCCCUCUAUAUUACGUGGUUUGGUCAAACCUUCCACACAAAAAACUCUCACGUAGAUGAGACGCAACUGCCCAUAUAAAAAUUUUGAGACAUUUAACUUCCGACGAUAAGGCUCCUCAUAGGGAAUAAUAACGGUAAAUAGCAGACACGUUGUGAUUCCGAUGACUAAAAUUUACAAACCAAAAUUUGACCGUCCGAUAUGAUCAUUAUGACGAAAGAUGUCUAUGGUAAAAAAUUCAACUGGAUUCGACAACGUUAAGGGCUCGAUCGAAACGGUCAACUCUAAUCGGAAAUAAGAAAACUGCAUUUUGAAGCCCUAAACGGACUCGGAUGGCCAAAAAUGCCCACACAUCAUGGCAUUAGCCAUGAGUCUAACUCGUAGGGCCGUUACGCUUCCGGAAAGGUAUCACAAUAGUCAAUCGGACACCAAAAACCAAAUCUGCAGCAUAGUGAAUAAUAAGGGUAAAUUGCAUUGACCGCAACUAUUGGCACCGAGACUUUACCAGAAUACCUUGAUUUUUCAAUUGUGGACGUAUUUCACCAUUCUGGUCAUAUCUUAUUUCACGACUUUUUUACGUUUGAAGGUUCUACGUAUAGUUUUUUUUUCCCAGAUGAGUUGUUGUCCAUAUCUGUAAAUAUAAGGCACUUUAGCCGACGAAAUUAAGGCACUUUAGCCUACGAAAUUAUAUUUUUCGUCGGCUAAACUUUUAAAAAUUUCGUCGGCUAAAGUUCACAGACUAUAGCCGACGAAAAAAAUUAUUCAGACGACGAAAUUUUAAUUUCGUCGGCUAAAGUUGACUAUAGCCGAUGAAAAUUUUUAAUUAGCCGACGAAGGGAAAUUUUGUCGGCUAAAGUCCACUUUAGCCGACGAAAAAAUAAUUCGUCGGCCUGAUUUUUUUAUUUUCGUCAGCUAAAGUCUUUCUUCUGGUAGUGUAGCUAUAAUGGAAAAUUAUGUUUUUUCUUAAUACGAAAAGACGAUGGAAAAUUCUUGUUUACAUUAACAAAAUUAGUCACAAGAAGUUCUGCCAUAAGUCUCUCUUAAAGGCAAUGGUUUCGUCCCACUUUGCCCAAAUAGCUAGUUGUGCAGAUUCAUAAUGUAGCAAUAAUAUCUGUUAAAACAAAUAAUGAACAUCAAAUCAUCAAUAGAUGAUAAUUAAUAUAUGAUUAUCCACGUACUGACGUACAUAUCUUUUGUGGCAGAGAAUUUGAUUUUUAGAAUAUUAGUAUGUAUGCUUUGCUUGAGAUCGCGUUCAUGUAUAUAUGCUCAGUUUUACGAUGUGAUUUUGUAGUGUCCAGCACGUAAGCGCGCCUUUGAUUGAAACAAA
rnacentral:lncRNA from 1 species